ACAAAAGAUUAGCGGUUCUUGAGGAGAGAGGAACUCAGUAUCAAGAAAAAGGAGAAAGAAGUAUGGGAAGAGGGAGAGUGGAGAUGAAGAUGAUAGAAAACAAAAUCAAUAGACAAGUGACCUUCUCAAAAAGAAAAAACGGGUUGUUAAAGAAAGCUUAUGAGCUCUCUGUUCUCUGCGAUGCUGAAGUUGCUCUCAUCGUCUUCUCUAGCCGCGGCAAGCUCUACGAGUUCGGCAGUGUCGGAGUUGAAAGAACAAUUGAACGGUAUCAUCGUUGCUACAACUGUUCUCUGAGCAAUAAUAGGCCUGAGGAGUCUACACAGGCAUGUGUAUAUACGUACUUUCGAUUUAUACAAUAAAUGAACCUGUUUAAAUUUGUAACUACUCUUACUUCAAACUCUCUCGCUAUUAUAUGCAUUUCAUUAUAUAACCCUACAUGUGCAGAAUUGGUGUCAAGAGGUGAGAAAGCUCAAAUCCAAAUACGAAUCUCUUGUUCGCACUAAUAGGUUUAUUAAUAGUUUUCUAAGCCCUUGAAAUUAUAUAGGGAUCAUCAUAUCAUCUUCUGUUAUACAUAUUAUAUAUAUAGCUGAAUAGUUGAUGUCUGUUGAUAUUCAUGCUAAUUAUCAAGGCACUUGCUUGGAGAAGAUCUUGGAGAAAUGAGCGUGAAGGAACUGCAAAGGUUGGAGAGGCAGCUGGAAGUCGCUCUUUCUGCCACUCGAAAACGCAAGACACAAGUUAUGAUGGAAGAAAUGGAAGAUCUUCGGAAAAAGGCAAAGUAUAUAUUGUUAUGUACUAAACUGAUACAUGUAUUAACCAAUCUAUUUUUGAAAUGGUAGGAGAGACAACUCGGAGACAUAAACAAACAACUUAAGAUUAAGUUUGAGGUCGAAGGCCAUGCUUUCAAAUCGUUGCAAGACUUAUGGACAGCAUCAGUGCCCAGUGAUCCCAACAAUUCUGAAUUUCCGAUUCAGCCUAGUGCAGUGGAUUGCAACACCG